AUUGAACGCUGGCGGCAGGCCUAACACAUGCAAGUCGAGCGAGCGGCGGACGGGUGAGUAUUGUAUGGGGACUGCCCGCUAGAGGGGGAUAACUACUGGAAACGGUAGCUAAUACAGCACACCAUAGGAUAACCCCUAUGGGAUUAUCUAGUAGGUGGGGUAAUGGCUCACCUAGGCGACGCUCCCUAGCUGGUCUGAGAGGAUGAUCAGCCACACUGGGACUGAGACACGGCCCAGACUCCUACGGAGGCAGCAGUGGGGAAUAUUGCACAAUGGGCGCAAGCCUGAUGCAGCCAUGCCGCGUGUAUGAAGAAGGCCCUAGGGUUGUAAAGUACUUUCAGUCGGGAGGCGUUACCGACAGAAGAAGCACCGGCUAACUCCGUGCCAGCCGCCGCGGUAAUUC
rnacentral:rRNA from 1 species